rnacentral:rRNA from 1 species
CAGCACCUCAAGUGGUCAGGAUGAUUAUUGGGCCUAAAGCAUCCGUAGCCUGCUUUGUUAGUUUUCGGUUAAAUCCAUACGCUCAACGUAUGGGCUGCCGGGAAUACUGCAAAGCUAGGGAGUGGGAGAGGUAGACGGUACUCGGUAGGAAGGGGUAAAAUCCUUUGAUCUAUUGAUGACCACCUGUGGCGAAGGCGGUCUACCAGAACACGUCCGACGGUGAGGGAUGAAAGCUGGGGGAGCAAACCGGAUUAGAGACCCGAGUAGUCC